AACAAAACUAAAAACAAAAAAAAACUCUUAUAAUGAAUAUUUACCCAAAAUGAUUCACCAAAGGAGAACUACGAAAGGCGGGCGUCUUUACACAACACAUUCAUACCUUCGCGAGGUAAGCGAUCCACAUAAAGAGACCCGAGCAACCAAUCAAAAUACUUGAGCUUGAGUGACAAUAAACGACACUGAACCAUUACAUUCCUCCCAACUACCACUACCACUACCACUCACAUCACUAUUACCACCACUGAUUAACCAAUUAACCAAACAAACUAAUCAACCGUGAUUGCUGCCAUCUUGCAAAUUGUCCAGUGGUUACGACCAGAUACAAUGAGAUUCGAAGAGAUUCGACAACAUAUAGUCUGCUUUAAAAACGCUUCGCGUAUUAACUGUUUGACGUAAUAAUCUCAUGUUACACAAAAACUUGUGCGUGUAAUUUACAGAAUGUUUUUGUCGUUUUUUUUUAAUUAUAAUUUUCCAGUGUUUUCCAUAAUGGAUCCUGCGAUUACUUUAGGUUGUAUGACAAUAAAUAAAAAAAACUGUUUUCUUUUGGAAUAAAUCAUUCG